rnacentral:lncRNA from 10 species
UUGCAAGCAAACCAUGUCAGAUUUCAUCACACUGCCAUAGCCUCCGGGGCAGAAAACAUCCCCAGCACAUGGUGGCCUGGAAGCCUGCACACCAGGGCCCUCCGAUCACCAUAUGGAGCCCCUUUGGAGUGCUGUCUACAAUGAGAUGCCUGAGGAAACUGCCUGCAGUGCGAGGAGCUGGUGAGGACUGCUGCUGUUACCAGGGUCUGCCCUUACCCAGAGCUUCUAACCUUAGAAGAUCUUCCUUCACUGCUUUCCUGGAGCUAUCCAGCCCAGACUGACUUAGGAAGCCUGAAAUAGCUGCACAACCUAAAUUCUUCAAUCAAAUUUUAACAGAAAUAAGAUGCACGUUUUCAUGUUUAUCAAACUCCAAUAUUUACCUCCCAUUUGGUUUUUAACUUGGAGGAAGAAAGGACAUGUUUAAAUUUCAUCCCUUGAAAUCCUACUUCCUAAAAAGAAUAAGAUCACACUGUGCUUUGGAAACAGAGAACAAGUUAGAAUCAGCUAUUUGGCUACAGCAAACCCAAUCCCAGAACCUGUCUGGAGUAAGGAAAAGGAUGCUUUUGUGUUAAUUAGAAAGUCAAUAGGAGCCCAUGGAGUGCAGAAACUUCAGCUAGGAGAUGCAAUCUGUUGAUUACCAGGGGACCCUUUUCGCAAGAGGUCAUAAUCUCAAACCUUCAGCUCGCUUAUAUUAUUUGCAGGGGGCUGAUUUUCCCCCUUGACUCUCACAGAGUUGUCCAAAUACACCUGUUUCCAAAGCAUGUGGUCUCCACACCUGAACCUCUCAGAGCUGAAAAUGAGGAAUAAAUAAGAAAUAAAAAUAACCAACUCUGAGUGGAGCAAUAAAGGACUAGACAGCACAUGAACUAAGCUACAGAAAAAUCAGCCAAGAAGACCAAAGGUUUCCAGUCCCGGAGCCGCAAGUCAUUAUCAAGCUAAAUUCUCUUCCCUGCAUUUCCCCAUCAUUAAAACAAGAAGAGAAACAUUAAAUGUAAAGUUGUCUUUGCUGAGUAACUAUUUUACACUCCACACAACAGUAGGAGGUGGAGUGCAAAAGAAGUAGGCGACUGCUGCCUUGCACUCCAUCUUACAAGCAAACCCAGGGAACACCAGAAUGAUGAGAGUAGGUGUGGCUGGUACUGCCACACUGUCCACCAAUACCCAUUCUUCCCACAUUCCAAAAAUAGAACCUCAAUUCUGGCACAUAGCCAUCCAGAAUAAGUACAAUAUUCCUUAGUCUCCCUUCUGUUAGAAGUGGCCAGUUGACUGGGUUCUGGCCUAUAAGGAUGUAAAAUAAAAUUACAGGUGCAACUUCUGAUCAUAUCCUUAAAAGAAAUGGGCAGGCCUUCUCCUGACUUCUUUUCUUCCUUUUUGUCAUCCAGUUAGAAUAAGGAUAUGGUGACACACCAUCAUGGAUCAUGUCCUAGUGGUGAAGGAACACAAGCUGGAAUAAAUUUAGACCUUACACAAUUUCACAGCUUAGAGCUUAUUCCCUAAACACUCAGACUUUUAUGAGACUGAGAAAUGUAUUUGUACCAUUGUAAAUGCACUCUUAAGCCACUUUAUUUAAAAUCUUGGUUACAUGCAGUUAAUUAAUUAGGACCUAUAUCCUAAUUGCUUGAGAUGGCAUGCAACCACUUCACUUGUCCAGCAACCUCACUUUCCCAGAAUAUAGUUGUAAACAAAGAAAGAAACUAAAAAGACCCCUAAGUAGCCAAAGCUAUAUUUUCACUGGAAGCUGAUGCACUUUAUUCAUAGGAAUGGCACCCACGCCAAGACUUGGUGGUUACUGACUCUUAUCAUAUCCACAUUUCCAAUAAGCAUGGUCCCUGGUAUAUUAGUCCACAGGCAAUACAAAGAUGAAUAGAAAGAGAAGAGGACCUCUUUUCUUUUCCUUUGCUGUUCAAGAGUUUGACAACAUACAGGACAGUUUUUAAAGGCAGAUAAACUGAUAUUACCAAGACAUGAUAACACAAUCUGACAGUGAGGAGAGUUGACAAAAGUAUAAAAAAUAGAUAUGAGAAUUUUAAAUCCACACAUAAAGAUAUGAGAAUUUAAAAUCCAUAUAUCCAUAUGUCUGGAGCUACUCAUACAUAUAGGGGCAAAUAAUCUCAUGUAUCUAAAUAGUCCUUAAGAAUAUUCUUGAUAUAGCUCAGCAUAAUAAUUGAUGUUUAUGAUAUUUCGAGUCAUACUCUUUUAAAAAGCAGAAAAGUAUGUAAUUAUUAUUAUUAUUUCAGAACAUUAGUCAUCUUGAAACUUUUUUUAUUUGAAACAUUUUAGUCCAUGUGAUGCCAUAUACACAAAUUAUUUCUUACAAUCCAUUGUUAAAUGAAAUACAUUUGGAUAUCACAAACAAAUCAUUUCCUACAAUCCAUUGUUAAAUGAAAUACAUUUGGAUAGUCAGGGUUAGAACCAUUUAUUCUGUACCUAAACCCCUUUGAGCCUUGCCCUAAAUACAAUGUCCUGGAGAUGAAUCACACACAUCACUACUGUCAAGUAACUCCUGGUCUAUUUUGAACACACAUAAAUAAAGAGAUCAUUAUAAUAUUAGACUAAACUUCUAGGGAAGGAAAAAUCAUAUAUAAUGUAGAUGAAAGAAAAAAAUGACUAUCUAUAAUGUAAAAGAAGCCUGAACAAAAUGAUAAGAAAAAGAAUCAUCUAAAAGAAAAAUAGGCAAAAUGAUUAAUUAUCUGUCCACUUAAAAGCAAAUUCAAAUCUUUUCACGACAAAUGUGAAAAGAUGCUCCUUCUUGGCAGACAUCAGGAAAACACAAAGUAAAAUAGCAAUGAGAUAUUUCUCACCUAUCAAAUUAGCAAAAGUAAAAGAGAAUGAUAAUACAUGUUGCUGGCAAGGAUAUGGGGAAGAUGUUACUUCAUAUACACUAAUGGAAAUGUGAAUUAUUACAUUCUCUUUAGAAAACAAUAUGGCAUCAUCUAUUAAAACACUGAAAAGUGCAUACACUUGGACUCAGAAAUACUACUUUUGGGAAUCUACCCAUAAAAGUUAAAUCAUCCAUUAAAAAUGAUAAAUGUUCAAGGAUGCUUAUUUCAGUAUUGUUUAUAAAAAUUACUGAAUAAAAAUCAAUGCCUAUCAGAUGGAAAAUGGUGGAAAAAUCCAUGGUAUACUUGUUCCAUUAAAAACUAUACAACCAUUGAAAAUAAUAACAUAUCUAAACCCUUUGACUCAAGGAGAGCUGGAUGACAGGGAGAAUAGUUUUCCAUAGCGUUUUAAGUGACAAAUGCAAAAAAUGUAUAAUGAUAUCAUAUUUAAACCAAUGACAAAAAUUCCUGCCUAUGUAUAUGUGUGUGUGAAUGUAUGUAUUUGCAAAUGAUUAUAGGAACUUAGAAAAUACAGAAGGCAUCUGGAUUGUUAGACCAGUUUGUAAACAAGCAAAAAAGCUGUAUUAAAAAGUAGAUAUCCCGGAUAAAAAGUAAGCUGCCUACAUAAUAAAGCAGAAUAUGUAUAAUUAUAUCCAUACCAAGGCAGAGUAUAUAAAAUUAUAUCCAUCUACAUAUGCUAGUAGUUAUACAUCUAAAGAGAUAAGUGAAAGAAUGGUCACCAAAUUAUAGAUAACAACUAGAAUUUGAAGUGGUUUUUACUAACCUUUAUAUCAUUUUAUACUUUUUCAUUUUUUACAAUUAAUUUGUAUUAUUUAAACAAUUUGGAAAAAGUUGAUAAAGUGAUAAAAACAACCAAUGUCAGUGCUGGUCAUUAUUGAGUGAAGUCAACUAAGAAGAGUUCAUAUGGGACAUAGAACCUGACCUCAGUUUCAAGAGACUAUUGGAUCUGGGGGAUAGUUGAAGACAGAGGAAGUGCCAGGCAGGAAAAACUGUAUAAGUGAAGGUAUGGAAGUAGAAAUGAACAUGGGGAAUUAACCCUGAAACAGUUCGCCCUCAUAUGGAGAAGCAGGAAAAAAAAAAUAACAUAAGCAAAUGGCUGAUAUCACAUGACCAGAAUCAAACCAAGCAUAUAGGAAGUGGAAAUAGCCACCAUGAUGAUGCACGCACAAAAUGUGAUUUUUAGAGUUAACCUUAACAAAUGAAAACAGCUUGGUUUCUUCAAAUUCUACAAAUUGACAAAUAUUUUGAGUUCUUAGUACUUUGUCCAUGGUGACACCAUGUGUUGCACUCAGAUGUAAAACUUCAGCUUGGUAACAUUUUCAUUUUAAACCCUCCUUCCUGUCACUUUCCAACUUGGCUGUAAAUAUUUGCUUGGAGAAAAAAUGUCACUAAAGAUCUAAGCUCAAGCUUCCAAAAAAAGAAAAAAAAAGGUCAUUUUGAAAUAAGAAGCUGUAUUCUGCAUUUUAAGUAAACAAAAAGCCUCAACACCUAUGACUCAGAGCUCAUUUCAGAAAAAAAAAUUGUUUUUAUUUAUUAAAAGCCUAUGAAUAGAAAUGAAUUCUUUAUUUGGUAUUCAUUCUGAUUUAAGUCCGCCUGCCCCUUUGAGAUGGGAAUCAUGUGUGCUUUGCUAAAUAAAUGAAAAGGUUGUCUGAUGUCACUGUUUCUCUUGUCCUCUGCAAUAUGGCUGGGGUUUUUUU